CACUGCCACCAACAGCAGUUGACAAAACGUAAACACAAAAGUCUCUUUAUUCGUAACACCUUUAUUUACUUUAAAACAAGACAAGUACGGACCAAUUGAGCACAGCAGAGAGAAACGGCAUAGACUCCUUGGUCCACAGGUAGAAAACAAUUGCAGCUAAUCAAAAAUAUUCUUUUGACAGGCUGACAUGGAUUAAGUUGUACAAAGUCUCACUUUUGUCAUUUAACUCAAUCACUGCCAGCGCAGUUCAAAUGGAUCUUUGACGUCUGGCGUUGCCAAUGGCGGCGAUCGAGUUGAAAACGAAUCCCGUUUAUUGAUUAUUGUAUAUACUUUUUUUUUUUUUUUUUCGGAAAACUGCAUUUUGUAAUUUCCUGCAAAUGAAGCCGUAGUCAUUCAUGAAGCUUUUUGUCAUCCAUCACAUAGGAUAGGCUGCGCGCACACUGUGGGCCACCCCGAUGAUAAUGUGUGUGUGUGUGUGUGUUGCUAAUCCUCUAACAAGAUUGUGUGUGUAUCAUCGGUUUGCAGCAGCGUGUGGAGAUUAGCCUUGUUACCUCUAAUGACACUGAUCCCCCCCCCCGGCCCCCCCUCACCACGUUCCUCCUCCUCCUCCUCCUCAUCAUGUUGACUUUGAAGCAGCCCACCAAGGCGAGCAAUGUGAUUGGCUGGAAUGCGCUCGAGAGUGUUUGCUUCCAUUUCAUCCGUUUCCAGUGUCGCCAGCAGGGAUUGAUUAUUGCUCAAAGUUGCUCAGUGGCAUCGUCGGGCCAUUCCAAAGACCGUCGUGUAGAUUUCAGAGAAUGAAGAAAUGAUUUGAAGUGUGUCCGUUGAGAUGGAGCAGGCGUCCAUGGAGCAGAAGGGCCACGCCAACGUCCCGUGGAUAGUGGAGCCGGGUCAGGAGGCCAAGAGAGGAGUCAACACCAAGGCAGUGGCGGACGCUCAUGUCUUUUACUGUGGAAAUCAAAGAAUGUAGCCAGCCAUAAACACAUGGACCUUGUCAGGCAUAACACGCACGCUCUUUUCAAAGGACUACAAACAUGGACUCCCUCCCCCACCGCUGUUCCGCGUUUAAGCUUGACUGCUUUGUGACACACAAACACACAAUAGGGAAGUGAAUGUUCUGCUCCAACCUUUUUGUGGGGGAGGUUACCAUGGAGAUGGACAAUUGGGCAUGUCUUUUUUUUUAACAGAUUAUUCAAGGUGAGAAGACUGGUAUCAAUGUUUAGUAUGAGAGUAUUAAAACGCCACCCAAAUGAUCUUGUGCAAUUCUCAUCUGCUGUCACCCUCAUGUCAGAUUAUUUUUCUAUGCGCUCGAGACCGAUGGCCGCCCCCCCCCCUGAAAAAAAACAACAAAAAAAGAAGCGUGAAUGUGCUGACCUCCGUCCCUCCUCUCUGCACUGUAUUCAACUACUGUACGUAUGGGAUCUGAGGGGAUAAAAUGUACAUAAAUAUUUUGCCAACUCAUUGUUGAUAACUGUAAUGUAAAAGAUGGACAGAUACUUUGUGGCACUGGGGAAAAAAAAAGCUAAACCAAGACAAAAAAGAAGACAUGUACUAGAUGAUUCUAUAGAUGAUGUACUUUGAGUGACAUUCAUGUAAAUAGGCUUGGGCUUCCAGCACGCUGAUUUUUUUGUAAUUUUAUGCCAUUAUUUAUAACCCUGUAAAGCACACAUGGAAUAAAAUAUGACUUGUACAACCAUGA